rnacentral:lncRNA from 10 species
GUUUACCUAAGCAAGCCUGGGCAAUGGCGGGCGCCCCUCCCCCAGCCUGGCUGCCGCCUUGCAGUUUGAUCUCAGACUGCUGUGCCAGCAAUCAGCAAGACUCCAUGGGCGUCGUAGGACCCUCUGAGCCAGGAAGUUGCGCUGUACCUGAGAGCACCGAGAUAUAACAUAAGAAGCCAUCUUGGAAUUAAAGUUGUUAUGUACUGAUUGCUCUGACCUCCUCUCGUAAACAGGCAUUCUACUGGAACGUGUAAGAUAAUUUUUGCCAUCUGUCAUUUUCUUCUUCUUGAGAAAGGAGGAGAAUUACUGAGAAACAAGAAAAUGACUUUCUUGCAGUUGGGUUAUGGCCAUGUGAAUAAUUCUUGUCAAUGAGAAUGUGAGUGAAACUGAUAUGUAAUUGCUGGUCUGAGGCACUUAAGAAAUAAAGUAAGUUUUCUGUGCUUUCCUAACCUCAUGGCUGGAAGAAAAUUCACAAUGUUUGAGUUGCAAAGUGAACAUCAGCGGAACUGAAUUGUUGAGUCAUCAUUGGAAGAAAGCUACCAAGAAGAGCUAGCUAGUCACAUCAGACAGUACGUUUCUAGAAGAAAAUUCAGGACCUAGAAACAGUUAAUAUAAGUUGUAUCCUUGGGAAUUUCCAAGCAUACCAAAUGACUACCAGGCAAGAGAAUGUUAAGCUAUACCAGACAAUUUAAUCACCUGCAUCCAGGAUAUGAAAUCCAGAAGUUUCAAUACUAUUAGCAGACUCUGACCAUCAGAAUUUUUUUUUUUUUAUACAACUUACAUUUCUCUCAUGAGAGUUUAAGUCUGCUUCCUUGUCUUAUACUCAGGGAAGAUGAAAGGCAGGUAACAUAUCCUGUAAAAUAAUUAACUGUAAGGUUGUUAAGUUAUUCUCCUGCCUUUGCUAUUGCAGUUUAAGUAAACAGUAAAUUAGUUUAAACUUUUCCUACAUCAUUACUUUAGUUAAUGAAUUCUAUUUCUUAGAGCAGUUUUAGAUUGAUAGAAAAAUUAAACAUAGAAUGCAGACAUUUCCCAUCAUCAAUUUAUUUCUAUUUAACUAAAUGGUUAAAAACUCUUAUUCUUUUGAAAACGUCACUAAGGAAUUUAUGUUGUCAAACAAUAAAGCCAUAUUUACUGAUACUGCAUGUAAGGGUUAUGACAACACAAAAGAUGCUGGGAAAAUGGAUGAGCACCUUCAAAUAAUAGUGCAUAAUGAUGUUGGACUAGCUGACAACAUUAAAGUCUGCAAAGGUAAAGGUUAGAAGAGACCUAAUGGCUUCUUCCUCUUUUUUUUUUUUUUUUUUGGCAACGGAGUCUUGCUCUGUCGCCCAGGC